UGUUUACCGAUAACAACAUGAUAAGGC
rnacentral:rasiRNA from 1 species